rnacentral:rRNA from 1 species
UUUGGGGCGUAAGCUUCAGAGACUAAGCGAAAGUGAUAAGUUAGCCACCUGGGGAGUACGAACGCAAGUUUGAAACUCAAAGGAAUUGACGGGGGCUCGCACAAGCGGUGGAGCAUGCGGUUUAAUUCGAUGUUACGCGAAAAACCUUACCAACCCUUGACAUGGGUGGUCGCGGAUCGCAGAGAUGCUUUCCUUCAGCUCGGCUGGACCACACACAGGUGUUGCAUGGCUGUCGUCAGCUCGUGUCGUGAGAUGUUGGGUUAAGUCCCGCAACGAGCGCAACCCUCAUUCUUAUUUGCCAGUGGGUGAUGCCGGGAACUAUAAGAAAACUGCCGGUGAUAAGCCGGAGGAAGGUGGGGACGACGUCAAGUCAUCAUGGCCCUUACGGGUUGGGCUACACGCGUGCUACAAUGGUGUUUACAGAGGGAAGCAAGACGGUGACGUGGAGCAAAUCCCUAAAAGACAUCUCAGUUCAGAUUGUUCUCUGCAACUCGAGAGCAUGAAGUUGGAAUCGCUAGUAAUCGCAGAUCAGCACGCUGCGGUGAAUACGUUCCCGGGUCUUGUACACACUGCCCGUCACGCCAUGGGAGUUGAUUUUACCUGAAGUAGGUGGGCUAACCGCAAGGAGGCAGCUUAUCACGGUAAGAUUGAUGACUGGGGUGAAGUCGUAACAAGGUAGCCGUAGGGGAACCUGCGGCUG